rnacentral:tRNA from 1 species
AGAGAGUUGCUCGAGUGGUUUAAGAGGCACGCCUGGAGAGCGUGUAUACGUGAAAGCGUAUCGAGGGUUCGAAUCCCUCACUCUCUG